rnacentral:lncRNA from 1 species
AGAGUUCUUCACGGGCCAGCACUCCGCCCCAUACAACAUCGCAGGUCUAACCACGGCUCUGUAGAAUUUCCCCUUGAGUUUAUGUGGAAUUUUCUUGUCGCACAGGACCCCUGAAGCAAGCCUCUACUUUGACCACCCCGCUUCUAUCCGAUGGGUGACGUCCCCGUCAUUCUCUCCGUCCCCCUGAAUCACAGACCCAAGAUAUCGGACACUGUCCCUCUUGGCGAUGGCCUGAGAACCAAG